GCCUUGACAACCAUUAGAUUGCCUGGGGCCGGGCAGCUCGGAGACUACAUUUCCCAGAGGGCCCCGCAUCCCGCGGGACGGAAGGGGAAGCGACUCGGGUGCAGUGCGCAGGCGUGAGAGCGUUCCCCUGGUUAUAUAAGAGAGGUGUGGGGGAGUCUUCGUCCUUUUUCGUCUUCGACGCUUUCGUUUGUAUAUUUGGUGGCCUCUGCGUUAUCCUUUGCCGUGCGGGCCCGGGAACCCGGGUUUGCUGCAGUGUGUGGUCAGCGCGAUCAGAGGGUACAGAAUGGAUCUCGGAGGAGGGGGUCGCUGCUGGGCCUCCAAGAGAACCCUCUGUAGAUAUCUACGGCCAUCCGUUUCCUGAUCUCUGGCAGGUAGAUGGUUGGCAGAAAGCAGACUUCGAUUGGACCAGGAAUGAGAUGUUGGAAUCGAGUCACUUACCUUGGUUUUACCUGCUAACUUCCUAUAGGUUGGGAGCCCUGUGAGCCACAGGGCAAUAGAUGGAUGCAGCCUGAUGUGCUUGGUUCAGUCUGUCCUGCAACAG
rnacentral:lncRNA from 1 species